rnacentral:rRNA from 1 species
GGGGAAUAUUGGGCAAUGGUCGCAAGUCUGACCCAGCAACGCCGCGUGAAGGAAGAAGGCUUUCGGGUUGUAAACUUCUUUUAAGGGGGAAGAGUAGAAGACGGUACCCCUUGAAUAAGCCACGGCUAACUACGUGCCAGCAGCCGCGGUAAUACGUAGGUGGCAAGCGUUGUCCGGAUUUACUGGGUGUAAAGGGCGUGUAGCCGGGAAGGUAAGUCAGAUGUGAAAUCUGGGGGCUCAACCUCCAAACUGCAUUUGAAACUACUUUUUUUGUGUAUCCGGAGGGUAAAUGGGAAUUCUUGGGUUGCGGGUGAAAGCGGUAAUAUAAAGGAAGAAACCAAGGGCCGAGGCGGAUUACUGGGAGGAAACUUGCCGUGGGGCGGGGAAGGCGGGGGAGCAAACA